CUCAGAAGAUUAAACAUCAUAUACGUUUAAACGAUGAUCUAACUGUCACUGUAAGUGUUUAUUAAUGUAACAAUAAAAUUCGGUUGGCAUGAUUUGAAUUUGUAACGAAACAUAAUUGCUAUUUAAUUGCAGGUAAUUUUUCCCAAUAAUGAACAAUUGCCACUAAAGGAGAAAAUUAAUUCAUAUGACAACACCUACGAUUACUUAAAAUCGGUUGAAAGAUGGCCUUUGUGCGUUGGUACUCAGAUUGACGACAAUAAAUUUUGUAAAGGUGUGAUUAUUGGUGAUGAUACUUACGAAAGAAAUCAACAGUACCCAAGAUGUAAAUCUUGUCGAAUAUUACGAAAUCGUUUGCAGAACCGUAAUUCCACUUCAACUCUAUUACAAAAAAUGGCAGAAGCUAAACGGCGCGCUUCAAAUCUUGUACAUAAAUGCAAGCGUCUGAAGAGGACGAAUAUCCAAUUAAGAGAGAAAAUUUCCUUGGCUAAGGCGCAGUGUGCAAAGAAAUCGGAUACCGUAGUACAAGCAUCUAUUUCAAAACUACCUGAAGAAUUUCAAAAUGCCGUGAGAUCAUGUUUUGAAGCCGCGAAAAAAAAUAAUACAAAAGGUCGUCGAUAUACGUUAGAAUGGAUUUAUGAGUGCAUGUUGAUACGUAUAAAAAGCAGGAAUACGUAUGAAUUUAUACGUAAAAGAAAUAUUUUACCCCUUCCUUCUGUACAAACUUUAAAUAAGUAUCUCAGCAAAAUCAGCUGUUCUGCAUAUGGAUUCCAAUCCUCUACUUUCUUUAGUUUAAAAGAAAGAUGUGAGGCGAUGAAGA